rnacentral:rRNA from 1 species
CUCCUACGGGAGGCAGCAGUGGGGAAUUUUGCACAAUGGGGGAAACCCUGAUGCAGCGACGCCGCGUGAUUUAGAAGGCCUUCGGGUUGUAAAAAUCUUUUGUAUAGGAAGAAAAUGACAGUACUAUACGAAUAAGGUCCGGCUAAUUACGUGCCAGCAGCCGCGGUAAUACGUAAGGACCGAGCGUUGUCCGGAAUCAUUGGCGUAAAGGGUACGUAGGCGGCUAGAAAAGUUAGAAGUCAAAGGCUAUAGCUCAACUAUAGUAAGCUUCUAAAACUAUUUAGCUUGAGAAAUGGAAGGGGAAGUGGAAUUCCUAGUGUAGCGGUGGAAUGCGCAGAUAUUAGGAAGAAUACCGGUGGCGAAGGCGACUUUCUGGCCAUUAUCUGACGCUGAGGUACGAAAGCGUGGGUAGCAAACAGGAUUAGAUACCCUGGUAGUCCACGCCGUAAACGAUGAGUGUUAGGUGUCUGGAGUCAAAUCUGGGUGCCGCAGCAAACGCAUUAAACACUCCGCCUGGGGAGUACGCACGCAAGUGUGAAACUCAAAGGAAUUGACGGGGACCCGCACAAGCGGCGGAGCAUGUGGUUUAAUUCGACGCAACGCGAAGAACCUUACCAAGUCUUGACAUAUUACGGAAGCAGUUAGAGAUAAUUGCUUACAUCUUCGGAUGACUGUAAUACAGGUGGUGCAUGGUUGUCGUCAGCUCGUGUCGUGAGAUGUUGGGUUAAGUCCCAUAACGAGCGCAACCCCUAUUGCUAGUUACCAUCAUUAAGUUGGGGACUCUAGUAAUACUGCCGGUGACAAACCGGAGGAAGGUGGGGAUGACGUCAAAUCAUCAUGCCCUUUAUGACUUGGGCUACACACGUGUUACAAUGGCAGGUACACAGGGAAGCAAGACUGCGAAGUUAAGCGAAACUCAAAAAGCCUGUCCCAGUUCGGAUUGCACUCUGCAACUCGAGUGCAUGAAGUUGGAGUUGCUAGUAAUCGUGGAUCAGAAUGCCGCGGUGAAUGCGUUCCCGGGUCUUGCACACACCGCCCGU